rnacentral:misc_RNA from 1 species
GAAAUGCGAUAAGUAAUGUGAAUUGCAGAAUUCAGUGAAUCAUCGAAUCUUUGAACACAUAUUGCGCCCCCUGGUAUUCCGGGGGGCAUGCCUGUUCGAGCGUCAUUUCACCACUCAAGCCUCGCUUGGUAUUGGGCGACGCGGUCCGCCGCGCGCCUCAAAUCGACCGGCUGGGUCUUCUGUCCCCUCAGCGUUGUGGAAACUAUUCGCUAAAGGGUGCCACGGGAGGCCACGCCGCAAAACAAACCCAUUUCUAAGGUUGACCUCGGAUCAGGUAGGGAUACCCGCUGAACUUAAGC